rnacentral:rRNA from 1 species
CGCGUAGGCGGAUCGUUAAGUCAGAGGUGAAAUCCCGGAGCUCAACUUCGGAACUGCCUUUGAUACUGGCGAUCUUGAGUAUGAGAGAGGUAUGUGGAACUCCGAGUGUAGAGGUGAAAUUCGUAGAUAUUCGGAAGAACACCAGUGGCGAAGGCGACAUACUGGCUCAUUACUGACGCUGAGGCGCGAAAGCGUGGGAGCAAACA